AGGUGGAGUUUAAAAUUUUUAAAAAUAAAUAAAUUCAUAUUACAAUUUUAAAAAUAGUUUCAGAAAAUAUUUUCGAAUUUCAAAAAGAAAAUUAAGAAAAAAAAUUCGAAAUUUUUUAAUAAAAAAAUUGGAAUUUAAAAACAUAUAAUUCAAAACUAUAAUUUUUUAUUAUUAUUUAUUUAUAUUUUUAUAUCUAUAAGACAACAAGUAGAAUGAUCUUUUGACGAUUUAAUAAAAUUUAUUUUGGUUAUUUUCUUAUUUGUGAACUCUUUUGGUGACAAAAAUCUUAAAAUUGGCUAUUUGAGAUAAUUGUCUAUUGCAUUAUAGAAUUAACUCAUUAAGGAUAUUAACAUAACUGACUCUUUGAAAAUUAACAUGAGCACGAUAUGUAGAAAAUUGACUUCUCAAAUAGUAUUGUAGAUAUAUUUUUAACAAUAAAAUUAAAAUUGGUAAAAAAUACAAAGGAAUUUAGAGCUUAGAAUUUUUUUUUUUAAAACAUGAGACAUAGGUCACUUCAACAAACAUUAAUUCUUAGAGUUUGACGAGACAAAAGGGCAUCUUUUAUAUAUGUGACAAAAGGACAUCUUA
rnacentral:lncRNA from 1 species